rnacentral:tRNA from 3 species
GGGCCGGUAGAACAGACUGGUAUGUUCACCCCCUUGGCAUGGGGGAGGUCGUGGGUUCAAGUCCCACCCGGUCCACCA